UGGGGAAUAUUGGGCAAUGGAGGAAACUCUGACCCAGCAACGCCGCGUGAAGGAUGAAGGUCUUCGGAUUGUAAACUUCUGUCGCAGGGGACGAAGAAUGACGGUACCCUGUAAGAAAGCCCCGGCAAACUACGUGCCAGCAGCCGCGGUAAUACGUAGGGGGCAAGCGUUGUCCGGAAUGACUGGGCGUAAAGGGAGCGUAGGUGGCGAGGUAAGUUAUGUGUGAAAGCCCGCAGCUUAACUGCGGAACUGCACAUAAGACUGCCUUGCUAGAGUGGAGGAGAGGCAAGUGGAAUUCCUAGUGUAGCGGUGGAAUGCGUAGAUAUUAGGAGGAACACCAGUGGCGAAGGCGACUUGCUGGACUCUAACUGACACUGAGGCUCGAAAGCGUGGGGAGCAAACA
rnacentral:rRNA from 1 species